rnacentral:rRNA from 1 species
CGUGUAGGCGGCCCGACAAGUCCGCUGUGAAAGUCCAGGGCUCAACCCUGGAAUGCCGGUGGAUACUGUCGGGCUAGAGUCCGGAAGGGGCGAGUGGAAUUCCUGGUGUAGCGGUGAAAUGCGCAGAUAUCAGGAGGAACACCAAUGGCGAAGGCAGCUCGCUGGGACGUGACUGACGCUGAGACGCGAAAGCGUGGGGAGCAAACAGGAUUAGAUACCCUGGUAGUCCACGCUGUAAACGAUGGGCACUAGGUGUGGGGGGUGUCGACUCCCCCUGUGCCGAAGCUAACGCAUUAAGUGCCCCGCCUGGGGAGUACGGCCGCAAGGCUAAA